AGGCGAAAGUGAGAUAUUAUUUUAUUGCUGUUACACAUUGGUUUUCAUCUCAUCUCUGCAAGUAACAAAUAAACCUUCCAGAGAUCAUUUUGAAACAAUUUGCCCAUGAUGAUCUGCUCUACGUACUUCAGUAAUCCUGCCUGAACAACUCCAUUUGUACCUGUUUAGAAAAACAACACACACAAAAUGCUGGAGGAACUCAGCAGGCCAGGCAGCAUCUAUGGAAAGGAGUACAGUCGACGUUUCGGGCCGAAGCCCUUCGGCAGGACUGCAGAAAAAAAGCUGAGGAGUGGAUUUAAAGGCGAUGUUGAGGUUAUGGCCGGAGAUAACCGGGUUGUUGAUGCACGUUAGCCAAUCAGGAUUUUGUUGGGCUUUCGGGGAAGAGAGAGAGAGAUGAAGACAGAAGACGCAAAUGGAGAAAUUUGGUAGACUGCUGGACGGGGUGGACUCGGAGUGGGGGUCCAAAGGUCGGCGACACUGGGAGGCGAUCGAUGGUGGAAGAACUACUGAACUGCAUGAGCUCCAACUUUGUGUGCGCAGACUGUUUAAUAAGAUUUGGGCCCUUUUUCCUUUAUAUUUUGUUUCUCUACUAACCACUAACCAUGGUUGGUGCAUGGAAUGCACUGCCUGAGUCAAUGGUGGAGGCAGAUACACUAGUGAAAUUUAAGAGACUACUAGACAGGUAUA